rnacentral:lncRNA from 1 species
UCAAAUUUCUUGGACAUAUAUAUAUAAAGGCGGCAUCAAGAGGGGCUAUCAAGGAUUAAGGUCUCCUUAAAAUGGAAAAAUAUUACAUUAGCUCGUUUAUAUUUUAUAAAAUUAUAAAUGAGAGUCAAAUUGCAAUUUAUCCUCUCAAAAAGAUAGAAUUUUAACUUAAUACAAUUAUGAAAUUGCAUAACAUCAAAAAAAACACAUAACUUAAUUCUCCCCCUACCCCCACA